rnacentral:rRNA from 1 species
AGUAACGCGUGGGUAACCUGCCUCACACAGGGGGAUAACAGUUAGAAAUGACUGCUAAUACCGCAUAACCCGAUAGGAUCGCAUGAUCCAGACGGAAAAGAUUUAUCGGUGUGAGAUGGACCCGCGUCUGAUUAGCUAGUUGGUGAGGUAACGGCCCACCAAGGCGACGAUCAGUAGCCGACCUGAGAGGGUGACCGGCCACAUUGGGACUGAGACACGGCCCAG